CACGUAGUUAGCCGUGGCUUUCUGGUUGGAUACCGUCACGCCGACAACAGUUACUCUGCCGACCAUUCUUCUCCAACAACAGAGUUUUACGACCCGAAAGUCUUCUUCACUCACGCGGCGUUGCUCCAUCAGACUUGCGUCCAUUGUGGAAGAUUCCCUACUGCUGCCUCCCGUAGGAGUUUGGGCCGUGUCUCAGUCCCAAUGUGGCCGAUCAACCUCUCAGUUCGGCUACGUAUCAUCGCCUUGGUGAGCCAUUACCUCACCAACUAGCUAAUACGCCGCGGGUCCAUCCAAAAGCGAUAGCUUACGCCAUCUUUCAGCCAAGAACCAUGCGGUUCUUGGAUCUAUGCGGUAUUAGCAUCUGUUUCCAAAUGUUAUCCCCCACUUAAGGGCAGGUUACCCACGUGUUACUCACCCGUCCGCCACUCGUUCCAUGUUGAAUCUCGGUGCAAGCACCGAGAUUCAACGAGAACUCGUUCGACUUGCAUGUAUUAGGCACGCCC
rnacentral:rRNA from 1 species